rnacentral:rRNA from 2 species
UCAAGUGAAGAAGCGCAUACGGUGGAUGCCUUGGCAGUCAGAGGCGAUGAAAGACGUGGUAGCCUGCGAAAAGCUUCGGGGAGUCGGCAAACAGACUUUGAUCCGGAGAUCUCUGAAUGGGGGAACCCACCUAGGAUAACCUAGGUAUCUUGUACUGAAUCCAUAGGUGCAAGAGGCGAACCAGGGGAACUGAAACAUCUAAGUACCCUGAGGAAAAGAAAUCAACCGAGAUUCCCUUAGUAGUGGCGAGCGAACGGGGAUUAGCCCUUAAGCUUCAUUGAUUUUAGCGGAACGCUCUGGAAAGUGCGGCCAUAGUGGGUGAUAGCCCCGUACGCGAAAGGAUCUUUGAAGUGAAAUCGAGUAGGACGGAGCACGAGAAACUUUGUCUGAACAUGGGGGGACCAUCCUCCAAGGCUAAAUACUACUGACUGACCGAUAGUGAACCAGUACCGUGAGGGAAAGGCGAAAAGAACCCCGGAGAGGGGAGUGAAAUAGAACCUGAAACCGUAUGCGUACAAGCAGUGGGAGCCUACUUGUUAGGUGACUGCGUACCUUUUGUAUAAUGGGUCAGCGACUUAUAUUCAGUGGCAAGCUUAACCGUAUAGGGUAGGCGUAGCGAAAGCGAGUCUUAAUAGGGCGUUUAGUCGCUGGGUAUAGACCCGAAACCGGGCGAUCUAUCCAUGAGCAGGUUGAAGGUUAGGUAACACUGACUGGAGGACCGAACCCACUCCCGUUGAAAAGGUAGGGGAUGACUUGUGGAUCGGAGUGAAAGGCUAAUCAAGCUCGGAGAUAGCUGGUUCUCCUCGAAAGCUAUUUAGGUAGCGCCUCAUGUAUCACUCUGGGGGGUAGAGCACUGUUUCGGCUAGGGGGUCAUCCCGACUUACCAAACCGAUGCAAACUCCGAAUACCCAGAAGUGCCGAGCAUGGGAGACACACGGCGGGUGCUAACGUCCGUCGUGAAAAGGGAAACAACCCAGACCGCCAGCUAAGGUCCCAAAGUUGUGGUUAAGUGGUAAACGAUGUGGGAAGGCUUAGACAGCUAGGAGGUUGGCUUAGAAGCAGCCACCCUUUAAAGAAAGCGUAAUAGCUCACUAGUCGAGUCGGCCUGCGCGGAAGAUGUAACGGGGCUCAAACCACACACCGAAGCUGCGGGUGUCACGUAAGUGACGCGGUAGAGGAGCGUUCUGUAAGCCUGUGAAGGUGAGUUGAGAAGCUUGCUGGAGGUAUCAGAAGUGCGAAUGCUGACAUGAGUAACGACAAUGGGUGUGAAAAACACCCACGCCGAAAGACCAAGGGUUCCUGCGCAACGUUAAUCGACGCAGGGUUAGUCGGUUCCUAAGGCGAGGCUGAAAAGCGUAGUCGAUGGGAAACAGGUUAAUAUUCCUGUACUUCUGGUUACUGCGAUGGAGGGACGGAGAAGGCUAGGCCAGCUUGGCGUUGGUUGUCCAAGUUUAAGGUGGUAGGCUGAAAUCUUAGGUAAAUCCGGGGUUUCAAGGCCGAGAGCUGAUGACGAGUCGUCUUUUAGAUGACGAAGUGGUUGAUGCCAUGCUUCCAAGAAAAGCUUCUAAGCUUCAGGUAACCAGGAACCGUACCCCAAACCGACACAGGUGGUCGGGUAGAGAAUACCAAGGCGCUUGAGAGAACUCGGGUGAAGGAACUAGGCAAAAUGGCACCGUAACUUCGGGAGAAGGUGCGCCGGCUAGGGUGAAGGAUUUACUCCGUAAGCUCUGGCUGGUCGAAGAUACCAGGCCGCUGCGACUGUUUAUUAAAAACACAGCACUCUGCAAACACGAAAGUGGACGUAUAGGGUGUGACGCCUGCCCGGUGCCGGAAGGUUAAUUGAUGGGGUUAGCGCAAGCGAAGCUCUUGAUCGAAGCCCCGGUAAACGGCGGCCGUAACUAUAACGGUCCUAAGGUAGCGAAAUUCCUUGUCGGGUAAGUUCCGACCUGCACGAAUGGCGUAACGAUGGCGGCGCUGUCUCCACCCGAGACUCAGUGAAAUUGAAAUCGCUGUGAAGAUGCAGUGUAUCCGCGGCUAGACGGAAAGACCCCGUGAACCUUUACUGUAGCUUUGCACUGGACUUUGAGCCUGCUUGUGUAGGAUAGGUGGGAGGCUUUGAAGCGUGGACGCCAGUUCGCGUGGAGCCAUCCUUGAAAUACCACCCUGGCAUGCUUGAGGUUCUAACUCUGGUCCGU